UGUUAAAAAAUUUAUCCAUUUUUACUGUUAAAAAUUAGUGUGGUUAACAAAAUAACCAGACAAAUACGCGUGACGUGUCAUGCGUACCUCAUUCUGACAUAUAUAGACAAAUUUUUAAUAGUAGAAAUAGAUGAAAUUUUUAAUA
rfam:Gossypium arboreum cultivar AKA8401 contig_3903_1, whole genome shotgun sequence.